rnacentral:piRNA from 6 species
UCAGUGGUAGAAUUCUCGCCUGCC